AAUAGGCACCACUUGUUUGUCUACUGAGGGCCCUGCUCUUACUCAACUACCCAGGGCACUCUGCCCUAGCCAGCCAGGCAAAGGAAUAGAAUCCAGGACUGGCUAGAACCAGGGCAGACUUGAUCUGCUCCACCAUGGCCACUGCGGCAGCCUGAGAAGAGCCAGCAUUUACAGGGCUACAGACCCUCCUGUCUCUCCGUGUGAGAAAUACCCUGCAUUGAGCGGGAGGAGCCAGGGGGGUGAUGCCUCAGGAGGCCAGAAGAGGGCGUCAGAUACCCGGAACCGGAGUUACAAGCUGCUCAGUGCAGGAGCUGAGACCUGAACCCAGGUCCUCCACAGAGCAGCAAAUGCUCUGAUCUGCUGAGCUAUCUCUCCAGCUCCCAAGUGUUCUUCAUCUCUGCACUGAAGACUUGCGUGCUUGAAACACACUGAGUAGCUUCUGUCUUUCUGUGAGAACCUGGACAAACAGGAAGGUCUAAUACGAGGCAUAGUCAUUGCUUGCCGGCACCUCCUGGCUUCAGGGUGGACAUGUUUGGGAUGAUUGGAGGUGCUCUUUGCUAAGUGUUUGCUAUGCGUACAAGGGGCAUCCCAGACUUGGACUUCUGAGUAAUGCUAAAACUGGUGAGAAUUUGGGGACUAUAAGAAAUAUGCUGCUGGAGAGAAACAAUUAAUAAACGGGACCUCCCCAAACUGAAAAGCUCUGUAAAGCAAAGGACACCAUCAACAAGAUAAAAUGACAGUCUACAGAAUGGGAAAAGAUCUUCACUAACCUCACAUCAGACAGAGGUCUGAUCUCCAAAAUACACAAAAAACUCAAGAAAUUGGUCAUCAAAAGAACAAAUAAUCGAAUAAAAAAAAUGGAGUACAGACCCAAACAGAGAACUCUCAACAGAGGAAUCUAAAAUGACUGAAAGGUGAUGUGGGAUUCCCCUCUGUGUGCUGUGAAUGUCAUUGGUUAGUAAAGGAACUGCUUUGGGCCUAUCUAUAGCAGAGCUAUGGGGGAACAGAGCUAGGCAUGGAAAACUAAACUGAAUGCUGGGAGAAAGGAGGCAGGGUCAGAAAAAAACCAUGGAUCCACCACCUGAGACAGACAUGCUGAAACUUUAGCUUGUAAACCACAGCCUUGUGUCCAUACACAGAUGAAUAGAAAUGGGUUAAACUAAUACAUAAGAGUUAGUCAAUAAGAAGCUAGAGCUAAAGGGCCAAACAGUGAUUUAAUUAAUACAGUUUCUGUGUGAUUAUUUCAAGACUAACCGGCUAGGAAUGAAACAAGCAACCUCCUUGCAACAUAAAGAAACAUAAGGAAGCCGGGCGGUGGUGGCACACGCCUUUAAUCCCAGCACUUGGGAGGCUGAGGCAGGCGGAUCUCUGUGAGUUCAAGACCAGCCUGGUCUACAGAGCUAGUUCCAGGACAGGCUCCAAAGCCACAGAGAAACCCUGUCUCAAAAAAACAAAAAACAAAAAAAAAAAAAUAAGGAAAUGCUCAACAUCCUUAGUCAUUACAGAAAUGCAAAUCAAAACAAUUCUGAGAUUCCAUCUUACACCUGUAAGAAUGGCCAAGACCAAAAACACUGAUGACAACUUAUGCUGGAGAGGUUGUGGGGUAAAGGGAACACUUCUGCAUUGAUGGUGGGAGUGCAAGCUGGUACAGCCCCUUUGGAUGUCAUUGUGCUGAUUUCUGAGAAAAUUAGGAAACAACCUUUCUCAAGACCCAGCAAUACCACUUUUGGGUAUAUAUCCAAAGGAUGCUCAAUUGUACCACAAGGACAUGUGCUCAACUUUGUUCAUAGCAGCAUUGUUUGUCAUAACCAGAACCUGGAAACAACCUAAGUGCCCCUCGACUGAAGAAUGGAUAAGGAAAAUAUGGUACAUUUACACAAUAGAGUACUACACAGCAGAAAAAAAUAACGACAUUUUGAUGAGGCUAGAAAACAUCAUUGUGAGAAACCUAGACAUAGAAAUACAAUUAUUAUAUGUACUCACUCAUAAGUGGUUUUUAAACAUAAAGCAAAGAAACCAAGCCCACAAAUCACAAUCCCAGAGAACCUAGAUAACAAUGAGGACCCUAAGAGAGACAUACAUGGUUCUAAUGUACUUGGGAAGUAGGAAAAGACAAGAUCUUCUGAGUAAAUUGGGAGCAUGGGGAUCUUGGGAGAGGGUUGAAGGGGAGGGGAGAGGCAGGGAGGGAGCAGAGAAAAACGUAGAGCUCAAUAAAAAUCAAUUAUGUAUAUAUAAUAACCCCCCCCCCCCAAAAGGCGCACUGACUACUCUUCCAAAGGACCUGGUUCUCGUCCCAGCACCCGUAGUUCAGCUCAUGACUGUCUGUAACUCCAGUUCCAGGGAAUUGGACACCCAUAGCAAAAUACCAAUGCACAUAAAAUAAAAUUUAAUAAAGAAAGAGAAG